UACGUAGGGUGCAGGCGUUAAUCGGAAUUACUGGGCGUAAAGCGUGCGCAGGCGGUUUCUUAAGUCAGAUGUGAAAGCCCCGGGCUUAACCUGGGAACUGCGUUUGAAACUGGGAGACUUGAGUGUGGCAGAGGGGGGUGGAAUUCCACGUGUAGCAGUGAAAUGCGUAGAUAUGUGGAGGAACACCGAUGGCGAAGGCGGCAUCCUGGACCAACACUGACGCUGAGGAGCGAAAGCCAGGGGAGCAAACGGG
rnacentral:rRNA from 1 species